rnacentral:rRNA from 1 species
GACGAACGCUGGCGGCGUGCUUAACACAUGCUAGUCGAACGGAAAGGCCCCUUUGGGGGUACUCGAGUGGCGAACGGGUGAGUAACACGUGAGUAACCUGCCCUUGACUUCGGGAUAACUUCAGGAAACUGGGGCUAAUACCGGAUAGGAAUCCUUGCUGCAUGGUGGGGGUUGGAAAGCUUCGGCGGUUUUGGAUGGACUCGCGGCUUAUCAGCUUGUUGGUGGGGUAGUGGCUUACCAAGGCUUUGACGGGUAGCCGGCCUGAGAGGGCGACCGGCCACAUUGGGACUGAGAUACGGCCCAGACUCCGACGGGAGGCAGCAGUGGGGAAUAUUGCACAAGGGGCGGAAGCCGGAUGCAGCAACGCCGCGUGCGGGAUGACGGCCUUCGGGUUGUAAACCGCUUUCAGCAGGGGCGAAGCUUGUGGUGACGGUACCUGCAGAAGAAGCACCGGCUAACUACGUG